rnacentral:rRNA from 1 species
CCUACGGGAGGCAGCAGUGGGGAAUAUUGCACAAUGGGGGAAAGCCUGAUGCAGCGACGCCGCGUGAAGGAAGAAGGAAUUCGGUAUGUAAAAUUCUAUCAGCAGGGAAGAAAAUGAUGGGACCUGACUAAGAAGCCGCGGCCAACUACGAGCCAGCAGGCGCGGUAAUACGUAGGGGGCAAGCGUUAUCCGGAUUUACUGGGUGUAAAGGGAGCGUAGGCGGUUUAGCAAGUCAGAAGUGAAAGCCCGGGGCUCAACUCCGGGACUGCUUUUGAAACUGUUGAACUAGAGUGCAGGAGAGGUAAGUGGAAUUCGUGGUGUAGCGGUGAAAUGCGUAGAUAUUAGGAGGAACACCGGUGGCGAAGGCGGCUUACUGGACUGUAAAUGACGCUGAGGCUCGAAAGCGUGGGGAGCAAACAGGAUUAGAUACCCGUGUAGUC